GACAGAGGUGGCAAGCGUUGUUCGGAUUCAUUGGGUGUAAAGGGUGCGUAGGCGGUUUAGAAAGUUGGACGUGAAAGCCCACAGCUCAACUGUGGAAAUGCGUCUGAAACUCCUAGACUAGAGUACGAGAGAGGUGAAGGGAAUUCCCGGUGUAAGGGUGAAAUCUGCAGAGAUCGGGAGGAACACCAGUAGCGAAGGCGCUUCGCUGGCUCGUAACUGACGCUGAGUGCACGAAGGUAUGGGGAGCAAACGGG
rnacentral:rRNA from 1 species